rnacentral:rRNA from 1 species
UACGGGGGGGGCAAGCGUUGUUCGGAAUUACUGGGCGUAAAGCGUGCGCAGGCGGUUUGUUAAGUCUGCUGUGAAAUCCCCGAGCUCAACUUGGGAAUUGCAGUGGAUACUGGCAAGCUAGAGUAUGGUAGAGGAAGGUGGAAUUCCCGGUGUAGCAGUGAAAUGCGUAGAGAUCGGGAGGAACACCAGUGGCGAAGGCGGCCUUCUGGACCAAUACUGACGCUCAUGCACGAAAGCGUGGGGAGCAAACAGG